CCUACGGGAGGCUGCAGUGAGGAAUAUUGGUCAAUGGACGAGAGUCUGAACCAGCCAAGUAGCGUGAAGGAUGACUGCCCUAUGGGUUGUAAACUUCUUUUAUAAAGGAAUAAAACGAGGCACGUGUGCCUUUUUGCAUGUACUUUAUGAAUAAGGAUCGGCUAACUCCGUGCCAGCAGCAGCGGUAAUACGGAGGAUCCGAGCGUUAUCCGGAUUUAUUGGGUUUAAAGGGAGCGUAGAUGGGUUGUUAAGUCAGUUGUGAAAGUUUGCGGCUCAACCGUAAAAUUGCAAUUGAUACUGGCAGUCGUGAGUACAGUUGAGGUAAGCGGAAUUCGUGGUGUAGCGGUGAAAUGCUUAGAUAUCACGAAGAACCCCGAUUGCGAAGGCAGCUUACUAAACUGUGACUGACAUUGAUGCUCGAAAGUGUGGGUAUCAAACAGGAUUAGAUACCCCUGUAGUC
rnacentral:rRNA from 1 species